rnacentral:rRNA from 1 species
AGUGAACGCUGGCGGUAGGCCUAACACAUGCAAGUCGAACGGCAGCACAGUAAGAGCUUGCUCUUACGGGUGGCGAGUGGCGGACGGGUGAGGAAUACAUCGGAAUCUACUUUUUCGUGGGGGAUAACGUAGGGAAACUUACGCUAAUACCGCAUACGACCUACGGGUGAAAGCAGGGGAUCUUCGGACCUUGCGCGAGUGAAUGAGCCGAUGUCGGAUUAGCUAGUUGGCGGGGUAAAGGCCCACCAAGGCGACGAUCCGUAGCUGGUCUGAGAGGAUGAUCCGCCACACUGGCACUGAGGCACGGUCCAGACUCCUACGGGAGGCAGCAGUGGGGACUAUUGGACAAUGGGCGCAAGCCUGAUCCAGCCAUACCGCGUGGGUGAAGAAGGCCUUCUGGUUGUAAAGCCCUUUUGUUGGGAAAGAAAAGCAGCAGGUUAAUCCCCCGCUGUUCCGACGGUACCCAAAGAAUAAGCACCGGCUAACUUCGUG